rnacentral:rRNA from 1 species
UUUAACAAAAACAUGUCCUUUUGUGUUUAAUUUAAGGUCGGGCCUGCCCCCUGAUGUAUGUUAAAGGGCCGCGGUAUUUUGACCGUGCAAAGGUAGCAUAAUCAUUAGUCUUUUCAUUGAAGGCUGGAAUGAAUGGUUUGACGAAACAUUAACUGUCUCUUUAUAAAAAAAUAUAAUUUAACUUUUAAGUUAAAAGGCUUAAAUAAUUAUAAAAGACGAGAAGACCCUAUAGAUCUUUAUAUAAGAAGUGAUUAUUAUAUUUAGGAGCAUUUUUAAUAAUUAUGGUAUUAUAUUUUGUUGGGGUGACAUGAAGAUAUAAAUAACUCUUUAUUUUUGGAACAUUGAUUUAUGAAUAAUUGAUCCACUAUUAGUGAUUAUAAGAUAAAGUUACCUUAGGGAUAACAGCGUAAUUUUUUUUGAGAGUUCUUAUCGACAAAAAAGAUUGCGACCUCGA